rnacentral:rRNA from 1 species
CAGCCAAGUCGUGAGGCGGAGCUAAUCCCUUAAAGCCAUUCUCAGUUCGGAUUGUAGGCUGAAACUCGCCUACAUGAAGCUGGAGUUACUAGUAAUCGCAGAUCAGAAUGUUGCGGUGAAUGCGUUCCCGGGUCUUGUACACACCGCCCGUCACACCACGGAAGUUGGGGGCGCCCGAAGCCACUUAGCUAACCCUUUUGGGAAGCGAGUGUCGAAGGUGAAAUCAAUAACUGGGGUGAAGUCGUAACAAGGUAUC